AUGCACCACCACUACCCAGCAAUGUGAAUCACUUUUUUUAAAGUGUGUUGGUGUUUUGCCAUGGGUGUUGGGUCCCCUAGAACUUAAGUUACAGACAGUAGUGAACUACCAUGUUGGGAAUCAAAGUUGGGUCCUCUGGAAGAGCAAUCAGUACUCUUAACUGCUGAGCCAUCUCAAGCAUUUAAAGCACAAACAUUACAACCACAACUAUUCAACCGCCUGCAAGUUACUUAUAAUUAUAAUCCCUGGUUUCCAGAAGAAGAAACUUAGAUAAAGUAUGGGACACAGUCUAAAAUAAUAUUGAACAGAACAUGAACUAGGUGAAAGGCCUUCUUUCAGGCUUCUGUUAUUCAAUAUGGAUGAUAUCUUGUUAGUCACCUCCAAAAAGGAAGAGCUACAGUCCAUGACUCAGGACAUGCUAUGUAAAAGUAGGCUCAUCGUUACACCAGAAAGGUACAUAGAUUAGAUAUUGUGCAAUGUUUGGGACAACUGGUUACUAGAACAAAUUUUAGACCACACCAAAAAAAAAUUCCAUAAACAAGACAAUUUAAAAUAGUUAACGUUCAGAAAUUGAUAGGGGGUAUUUAAUUCGAUACAUCCUACUUUAGGAAACUAUUUAAAACUCUAGAAGGUGAGACAUUAUUACAUAUAUGUGUAUAUGUAUGUAUGUGUGUAUGUAUGUGUCCAGACUAGAAGCAGCAUUUGUGUAUUGUGAGGAUCAUUUGCUGACUAACUGGCUGUUUUUCUGCCAACUUGACAUGAGCAAAAGUCAGAGAGGAAGGAGCCUCAGUUGAAGAAAUUCCUAGGUGAGAUCCAACUAUAAGGUAUUUUCUCAUUUACUGAUCAUUGAGGGAUGGCCCAACCCAUUGUAUUUCCAUCUCUGGGCAGGUCGUCCUGGCUUCUAUAAGAAGGUGGGUUGAGCAAGCCAUUGGAAGCAAGCCAGGAUCAGUACCCACCAUGUUCUCUGCAUCAGCUCCUUUUUCUGGGAUCCUGCCUUGUUUGAGUUUAUGUCCUGACUUCCUUUUGUCAUGAACUGAAAUGUAUUACAGCACCGGAAGAUAAACCUGUGGAAUGAAAAUAUUUACACCAUAAUGGCCAGAAAAUGCUAAGUGCUUUCCUUAAUAUUCUUGCUUUUUAAUAUUUACCCCUAACAAUCGGUGUUUAAGACUAUGAUACAUUCCUAUGGAUUUUCAGAUUUUAUUUGUAGAAUACCAUGGAAGGGUGGGAAAUCAUUAUCCAGCUGACAAGAAAUUAGAUUUUCUCCUACAAACUGAAUUUGUGAUUAUAAAAAUUGUCCAACCUCCCAUUCCACAGGCAGAUGCUUAUUUUAUUGACAUCUCAUCUAAUGAUACUGGAGGGAUCACAGUCCAGAUGGUCAUCCGUUUCCUAAUACUUCCUUUUCCUAGUUCAGCAGGUGCAACUGGUGUUUCAAUUCAUCUGUUAGGGUUAAUUUAUUAACCCUUAAAUAUCAUUUCGGAUUCUGCUUAUGUAGUUGGGUUGUUCCCAGCAAUAGAACCUGCUUCAGCUUUGUCUUCACAUCCUCCUACGUUCUCAUCACUACAGGAACUACAUCAGGUUAAAAGUCUUCACACAUCUCUUGUUUAUUAUUCAUACUCAUGCACAUUUGAACCUCCCUGUUUUCAUUGCAGAAAUAAAGAAGCAAGCUUACACAUGAA